rnacentral:rRNA from 1 species
UAGGGAAUAUUGCGCAAUGGGCGAAAGCCUGACGCAGCGACGCCGCGUGAGCGAUGAAGGCCUUCGGGUCGUAAAGCUCUGUUGCAGGGGAAUAAGAAAGUGAAUGUACCCUGUGAGGAAGGAUCGGCUAACUUCGUGCCAGCAGCCGCGGUAAGACGAGGGAUCCUAGCGUUGUUCGGAAUCAUUGGGCGUAAAGCGGGUGUAGGUGGUCUGAUAAGUCAGAUGUGAAAGCCCAGGGCUUAACCCUGGAAGUGCAUAUGAUACUGUCAGGCUUGAGUGUGGGAGAGGAUAGCAGAAUUCCUGGUGUAGUGGUGAAAUACGUAGAUAUCAGGAGGAAUACCGGAGGCGAAGGCGGCUAUCUGGCCCAACACUGACACUGAGACCCGAAAGCGUGGGGAUC